ACGGCAGCAUAGGUGCUUGCACCUGAUGGCGAGUGGCGAACGGGUGAGUAAUGCAUCGGAACGUGCCCAGUCGUGGGGGAUAACGCAGCGAAAGCUGUGCUAAUACCGCAUACGAUCUAUGGAUGAAAGCGGGGGACCUUCGGGCCUCGCGCGAUUGGAGCGGCCGAUGUUAGAUUAGGUAGUUGGUGAGGUAAAGGCUCACCAAGCCUACGAUCUAUAGCUGGUCUGAGAGGACGACCAGCCACACUGGAACUGAGACACGGUCCAGACUCCUACGGGAGGCAGCAGUGGGGAAUUUUGGACAAUGGGCGAAAGCCUGAUCCAGCAAUACCGCGUGCAGGAAGAAGGCCUUCGGGUUGUAAACUGCUUUUGUACGGAACGAAACGGUCUGGAUUAAUACUCUGGGCUAAUGACGGUACCGUAAGAAUAAGCACCGGCUAACUACGUGCCAGCAGCCGCGGUAAUACGUAGGGUGCAAGCGUUAAUCGGAAUUACUGGGCGUAAAGCGUGCGCAGGCGGUUUUGUAAGACAGGCGUGAAAUCCCCGGGCUCAACCUGGGAAUUGCGCUUGUGACUGCAAGGCUAGAGUACGGUAGAGGGGGGUAGAAUUCCGCGUGUAGCAGUGAAAUGCGUAGAUAUGCGGAGGAACACCGAUGGCGAAGGCAGCCCUCUGGACCUGUACUGACGCUCAUGCACGAAAGCGUGGGGAGCAAACAGGAUUAGAUACCCUGGUAGUCCACGCCCUAAACGAUGUCAACUGGUUGUUGGGAAUUUACUUUCUCAGUAACGAAGCUAACGCGUGAAGUUGACCGCCUGGGGAGUACGG
rnacentral:rRNA from 1 species